UGGUUGUGAGCCAUCAUGUGAGUGCUGGU
rnacentral:piRNA from 1 species